AGCUCCUGCUUCUCCAUCUCCACGGUCUCUGGUGGCAUCACCAAGCUAUGUGAGUUUUGGUCCCCUGUCACAUCUCCGGAUCCACCCCCUCAUAUGAGCUACAUGUUCUAACAGACAAAACAUAUGCUGCGUAAUCAAACAUUCUUAGCAACUCACUUGCUUCAGUUGUCCACGCAGAUUGUCAUAUAACUUAAUGAAUGCACCACUGUAAGAUUGCUUGCUGGUACUAUUUAUCAAGGCGGGUGAUGGCGGCGGCAGCGGCCUCGGGUGGUGGAGGAUGGUGUCUGUCGAGGCACCAACAGGUGCAGCUUGUUGGCUGUGGCUUGGCAAGCGUCGUCUCGGCGAGUGCCGGUGCGGCUUCUUCUUUUUUCCUUCCGGGCACUGGAGUAUUGCAUGCCCUUUUUGGAUGAGAUUUGUGUAUCCACGUGCUGCUGCCCAUCUACAUGACUUGAGGUUGUCCCGUUUGUUCUAGCGGAGGCAGGUCUUCUGUGAGGAUUGUAGCUGCAGGAGAUAGGGUCAGUACACCAGAUUUCAGCAUCACAGUCAUUGUACUGGUUGCCGCAGUGAUGCUUCUCCGCACAGGUGCCGGUGGUUGCGACUGUCGACAAUUGUGUGUCAUACAACAUGUCCAUCACAUGUUUGAUCAGGCUGCCUCAGUGACGGUUAUGACCGUGGCGCAGUUCUUCAGGUCACUUAUUGCUGCAAUAGAUGGGGAGGUUGGAAAGGAGCGUGAAUUGUAUGGCCAGUCUCUUGUAAUCGUCCUUCCUAAACUUUGAUUUGAUAUUUCAGCAUCUAUUGUACUGCAAUUUAAUUAUAUAUAUUACACUUCAUACCUAAGUUGUGCAUGAAGUGAUAUUUCUUCAGCAAAAGUUACCUGACGGUAUUUAUUACAGUGUAUUUGACAUAUAAGGAACCUGAGUACAAAAUAAAAUGGCUGAUAUGUGGCAUGCAUCUAAGUUGUUAGAUGUUUCCGUUUUUUAGUUCCAUAGAUGAGAAGAUGCGACUCAGGACGUACUCCUUGGACACGAGACAGACGUGCGGCCGGGCCGCUUCAGCGCUGCAUGUAGCCUUGGGCAAGCUGAUACUGUCACCAGUGCAGGGCGGCGUGCGCUUGAGAUUCCACUCGAGAUCGACCGGAUUCGACCGGAUUUUGUAGUCAGUCGAGUUGUAGUGUUCAGGAAUCAGAUCUUGUGAGGUUGUUAAAUUUCAGAGAAGAUGUAAACUGGUAUGAGUUUCAGAAUUAUAUGGCCAUAUGCUCUGUAAUUUUAUCCUAA